UACGUAGGGUGCGAGCGUUAAUCGGAAUUACUGGGCGUAAAGCGUGCGCAGGCGGUGAGCUGUGUCCGAUGUGAAAGCCCCGGGCUUAACCUGGGAAUGGCAUUGGAAACUGGCUCGCUGGAGUGUGGCAGAGGGGGGUGGAAUUCCAGGUGUAGCGGUGAAAUGCGUAGAUAUGCGGAGGAACACCGAUGGCGAAGGCAAUCCCCUGGACCUGUACUGACGCUCAUGCACGAAAGCGUGGGGAGCAAACAGG
rnacentral:rRNA from 1 species